rnacentral:rRNA from 1 species
GACGAACGCUGGCGGCGUGCUUAACACAUGCAAGUCGAGCGGUAAGGCCCUUUCGGGGGUACACGAGCGGCGAACGGGUGAGUAACACGUGGGUGACCUGCCCUCAGCUCUGGGAUAAGCCUGGGAAACCGGGUCUAAUACCGGAUAUGACUCCAUGACGCAUGUUGUGGGGUGGAAAGCCUUGUGCGGCUGAGGAUGGGCCCGCGGCCUAUCAGCUUGUUGGUGGGGUGAUGGCCUACCAAGGCGACGACGGGUAGCCGGCCUGAGAGGGCGACCGGCCACACUGGGACUGAGACACGGCCCAGACUCCGUACGGGAGGCAGCGAGUGGGGAAUCUUGCGCAAGUGGGCGAAAGCCUGACGCAGCGACGCCGCGUGAGGGAUGACGGCCUGGU